AGGACGAACGCUGGCGGCGUGCUUAACACAUGCAAGUCGAGCGAGGCUCCUCCUUCGGGAGGAUGCCCUAGCGGCGAACGGGUGAGUAACACGUGGGCAACCUGCCCCUAGCACUGGGAUAACCCCGGGAAACCGGGGCUAAUACCGGAUACGACUUCGGAAGGCAUCUUCUGAAGUGGAAAAGGUUACUGGCUAGGGAUGGGCCCGCGGCCUAUCAGCUUGUUGGUGGGGUAAUGGCCCACCAAGGCGACGACGGGUAGCCGGCCUGAGAGGGCGACCGGCCACACUGGGACUGAGACACGGCCCAGACUCCUACGGGAGGCAGCAGUGGGGAAUAUUGCGCAAUGGGCGAAAGCCUGACGCAGCAACGCCGCGUGAGGGAUGACGGCCUUCGGGUUGUAAACCUCUUUCAAGCAGGGACGAUAAUGACGGUACCUGCAGAAGAAGCUCCGGCCAACUACGCGCCAGCAGCCGC
rnacentral:rRNA from 1 species